rnacentral:rRNA from 1 species
GGGCCCGCACAAGCGGUGGAGCAUGUGGUUUAAUUCGAUGAUACGCGAGGAACCUUACCAGGGCUUAAAUGUAACGGGACAGAUCUAGAGAUAGAUCCUUCUUCGGACUCAUUACAAGGUGCUGCAUGGUUGUCGUCAGCUCGUGCCGUGAGGUGUCAGGUUAAGUCCUAUAACGAGCGCAACCCCCAUCGUUAGUUGCCAACGAGUAAUGUCGGGAACUCUAACGAAACUGCCGGUGCAAACCGUGAGGAAGGUGGGGAUGACGUCAAAUCAUCACGGCCCUUACGUCCUGGGCUACACACGUGCUACAAUGGCCGGUACAGAGAGCAGCCACUUUGCAAAAAGGAGCGAAUCUAUAAAACCGGUCUCAGUUCGGAUCGCAGUCUGCAACUCGACUGCGUGAAGCUGGAAUCGCUAGUAAUCGCAUAUC